UGAUUGCGUUUGUUACCACUGAGCCACGAUGGGAACUCCCUCAUGUCUUUUUUAAAAAAAAAACUUAUUUAUAUAUGGAUUAUGUUCCCAUCAUUAACGGAAGGAUUACUGUCUUUUGUUACCUAUUAUAUGCCAAGUACUGUGCUAAGCACUUUAACUUAUUUAAUUCUCACAGCAAUCAUGAGGUUAAGGUGAUUGAUUUUAGAGUUCAUAAUCUGGGAAUUAUUAGAGCCAGAGUUUUGAACUUAAUUAUAUUUGGCUCUAAAGCCCUUCCGUUACUUCACUGUGCUUUUUCAUAAACAUAGGAAACUUCUUGUUUUCCUCUUAGGGCCAACUAAGUGUUGUAUGCAAACCAAGUUCAUUCAUUUAAUAGAUUUAUUGUGUAUAAAUAACUUGGGGCUUUACCCAGUUUAUGUGUUUGCUUUUUUGUGACCUACAAUCAUAGGUUCUCUUCCUUCUUCACUCAGAAAGUACUUCCAAAUCCCUUUUCAUUCUCCAUUUUACUAAAGGCACUAAUAUCUUUAUUUACAUUUAACCACUGGAUGUUCUUACUCAUCUGCUUAAAACAAAGUUUUUCUAAUUAAUUUUAAACCACCUAAUCCAACCCCUUUAUUUAUAGUUGAAGAAAGAGGCUUAGGGUAGUUAAGAGACAUGCCCAAGGUCACGAGUGAAGUUAAUGGCUGAUGAUCUAUGUUCCUGGCUUAGACCUAGAGUGCUAUUCAUUAUGUCAGGAUCCCCUUGAAGAAGAAGCACUUAAAAAUAUUAUUGAAAAAAUCAAUUAAAAACUUCCACCUGCUAUCUUAUUUGUGGUGGUAAUUUAAUAGUAAAUCCUUUUUGAAUAUAAUGUGCAAAUAAUCUUCCUUCAGCACAAAAUUCAAAUUAGUGAAAUCUAAUCAUAACACUAUAUACCUGAAGAGCAUCUGACUAUUGCUGUUUUACAGACUACAUGUUUCUAGAAACCAGAAGUGGUACUUUUUUUUUUGGCCACACCUGCAGCAUGUGGUCAUAGGCCAGGGAUCAAACCCAUGCUACAGCAGUGACCAAAGCUGCUACAGUGGCAAUCACUGAAUCCUUAACCCACUUCACCACAAGAGAACUCCAAGAAGUGGUUCUAAUUUAUUCUGUAUGACAGUUGGCAUAGACAUCUCAUGAAGGCCAGAAAUGUCAGCAUAGAGAAACUUAGAGGCUUAGAAUAGAAUUUUAGAAUUUGAACAAAAAUUUUGUGAAUAUCUAAUGCAAUCUAAUCAAAUUUCCUUCUUUUUUAUAGUAAGGAUUUUGAAGCUGAGAAAGUGAUUUGCAUGGCAUUACAGUAAAAUUGUGGCAAAAUCAGCAGCACUUUUCCCACAACACUAAAUUGCCUCUCUUGAUUACCUCAAAAUUAAAUUAUGUUGAUUGUUGAAGAAGAUUGCAGGAAUAAAUCCUGUCGGAAAAAUGUAAGACAACCUUCAGGGAACUAAAAUUAAACAUUACUUUAAUCUCCUUUUGGAACACAAACCCCAUUAUUCAGGCCACUUCUUUGCAUGUGCAGAUUUUCUUGGCUUUUUUAUAGUCCUUAUGUGUUACUGGCAGAAUUGUUUUUUCACCAGAAACAUCAGAAUUCAGAAAGAGAGAAAAAUGUAAUUAUUUCAGGUAAAUGGGAACUUUGAAAAGCUCUAUAUUGUGAUUUAUUCUAAACCAGCCUCAAUUUUUCAGCAACUUCUGGACAUGGAGUGAAAUCAGAAUGGGCUUCAUACCUUUUUCUAAGAGAAAUCCAACAAUUAUUUUCUAAUGUCCAUAGAGACAAUAAAAAUGGACCUCUAUUUUCUAUGUCUAGCCACAGAGACAAUAAAAAUGUCUCGCCAUUCAGUAGAACUUUAACAAUAUUUUCAUCCUUGCUGUUUCUUUUUUAGGUUGUAAAUUGUGUAGAUACACCUAUUAGAACCCACAAUUUGAGAGAAAUUUUAUAUUAUUGUCAAUUUUUAAAGAAAAUUUCAUUCUUCCCAGUUUGUUUCUACAGAUUCCAGCCAGAUUUUUUUCUGUCACUCCAUACUGCCCAGUCUGAGUCCAAAGAAAGCAGAAUGAGAAGAUGACAAUCCACAUAUGACACAGUAGGGAAAUGUAUCUACACCUUCAGCUCAGCCCUGUCUUUCAAACUCAAGAUUAGAGUCAACCCCAGGACCCUGGCCACAUUCGGUGCACAAGCGCCCGCAGCUACGUUGCUCCCACCUGGAUGUGUUGUGGCUGUUCUGCAGACACUCCCGACCCUCUGUGCCAUAGACACCCAGGCUGGAAUUGUGGAUACAGUAAUCAGAGGAGUUCCCUUAGGAACCCGGAUGCAGGAGACUAUCCUACCUUGGGACCUGUUAUCAGGAAAUUAUUCACUGACCUACCAAAAAGAGAAAAAGUGUUCAUGAUUAUAAAGGAACUCUAUCUGGGCCUUCUCCUAUACCAGUAAGCAAGGGCACCCCUCCUCCCUCCUUCCUUGGUCUCUGUAAAGUCAUGAGGGACCCUGGAGCAGAAACACUUCAGAGGACACCCCUGCAACAGUCCCUUCCACCACACUCUACCUGAGUAAGUUCUGGUAAAUGUCUUUCAUUCCUAGUAGGUCUACAUUUUAUAUUUGUUAGAGCUUUAGUUUGCUCACCGCCACCCAGGGCUGUAUUUGAAAAGACUGAUGCCUUUCUGACACCACUUUGUUGCUGGGACUUAGCUGCUUCAGCAGGACUCUGUCUUUUAGAUUCACUCUGUAUUAGUGCCAAAGAAGAUGCCUCAAUGAAUGAACAAUGGUGAAUAAAUGAAUGAAUGAAGGAACUUGUGGCCCCUAGAAGGAACCCAAGGACCAUUUGGUAGACUGGGGACUACAGGGAAGGGUUGGAGAUCUUCCUCGGGUUGGCGAAACUUUUCUAGGACUGGGGAAAGCAGAUUGAAGAGAUGAACAAGAAAGUACAGAUAGGCUGUUACAAUCCUAACUCAUUACCCUGGUGACCGUCACUGUCCAGAUCACCUCACGCCACCCUGUACCUGAUUCGGAUGAAGAAGGGAGCUCCUAUGUCCCUCCACUAAAGGAGUUCUAGGGGCCAAAGAGUCCCCAGGCCUUUUAAGAGCAGUGCACUCAAAAUAUGGACUGGAAUUGGUGCCUGCCAACUGUUGUCUUUAUGUGAGAAGAUAAGUACAGAAAUGAAAAUGUUUAGAAAUGUUUUUAUUCUUUUUUUUUUUUUUGCCACACACAUGG